UGAUAAUCCUAAAUAAAAUAAUGUUUAAAUAUCUUAUGGAUGAUUGAUGGUUUUUCCUUUCUUUUCUUAGAUGCAGAUAAAAGACAAUUCUAUAAAAAUAGUUGAUCGGGACAAGUGUUUAAUAACUUUAGAGUUUUGGUGAAUUAUAAUAAUAGGGUAAAGCCUUAAUAGGAAUUGCGACUAGUGCGACUUAAACUUAGGCCAUACAUGGGGCAAUGAACAUCAUUGACCAUCAAACCAUUAUAUGAGGUUCUUUAAUAUUUUUAAUUUUAAACAGAAAAUUAUAUAAUAUUUUAUCUAUUUAUAUAGUUAUUAAAUAUUUAACUGAGUUGAAGAUAUAAUUUUAAAAUAAUUUUUUAAACUAUAAUAUUUAUAAUAUUUUAUAUUUUCAAAAUAAAAUCUAUAAAAAUAAUUUAAACUCAAAAUUUUAUUAAUUUAUUAUUAUUUUAUAUAAAUUAAUUUAAUAUCAAGUUGUAGCUUAUUAAAUAAAGUAGAUGGAAAUGUGGAAUAACAUGGAUGGUGUAUUAAAGUUACGAGUACAAUCAAUGUUGACCGAGGAAAAUAAGCAUAGAUAAUUGCAACAAGAAAUUGUGUGUUUAGGGUUGAAGAGGAAUUAAAAUCAAUGUAUAAUUAGGAAAAGUGAUUGAAUACUUAGAUUUUAAGAAAUUUGAGGGGCUGGAUAGCGAAUACACCCUUUUUGCCAAAAAUAAAAUGGAAAAUGGGAAAGGUGGCAGAAUUCAAACCUAGCUUGCAAUGGGAGAUAGAUGCCUAACCAUUUAGACUGCUACCUUACUUGCUAUAUUCCUACCACAUUCAAUAUAUAGUAUACUAUGAUUUGGUUCCUUGUUUGCUGAAAUAAAAAAGAAAAGAAAAAUGGUGGGAGAGGAGUGAAUAGAAUCUAGUAUUUUGGGGAAUAUAUAUAUAUAUUUUGAGAGAAAAACUGACCCCAAAUAAAUAUUUUUAAUAUUCCUGCAAGAGUGAAUCAAAGUUGAGCAUUGCAAUCUCUAUCAUUCUAAAUUAAAAUAUUAAAUUUAUUAAUUCCAAAAUUACAUAAUAAAGUUUUUGAGAGUGGAAAUUAAGAUAAUUAUUAACAAGAAAUACAUUUAUGAAUUUGUGUUCUUUGUUAUUCUUUUAAUUUUUUUUAGUUUUGUUUUUAUUGUCCAGUAACAUAAGGCUUUCAAAUUUAGAAUUCGUGUUAUACCUCUUAAUGAUGAUGAUAUUUGUAAAACUGGAAUCCAAGAUCAUGAUGAUGAUGAUGAUAGGCUGUUGAGACUUGGUCUUUUAUGCAUCAUUGAUGCGGUAAGUUUCUUGAUAGUGGUUUUUUUAUUGACCAAAGUUCAUCAUUAGGUUAAUCUGAUAAUGACCGGGAUGCAACUUUUAGCGGCUUGAUCAAGGUGGCACAACUCUAGUUUUAUUUUUAAAUUCUUCUAGUAUUGCAGUUACUUUCAGCUUAUCUUUUUCAUCUUUUUGAAUUAUUCUACGGACAUGGCAUUUAUACAUCAAUUUAUUGUAUAUUACCUAUCAUUUGUAUUAUGUGUCAGAUAUUUAUAUUCUUGUCGUUCAUUAUUCCUAUUAAUGAUAGUAUUUUCUUUAAAAAAUAUAAUUUUAUAUGAAUAUUGAAAUAUAUAUUGAAUAUGCACGAAUAAUUUAAAUGUUAUGAAAGUAUUUCUACAACAAAUUGACACUUCAAAGUUAUUAAUAGUUGAUUUUUGAAUAAUAUCUUACUUUUUCUAAAGUCUGUUGAUGUCCUUUGGGAUUAAAGAGGAAGUCUUCGCAAUCAAAAUUCUCUUAAGAGGAUGAAAUUAAGGGUUAAAGCAUAUAUAUUUUUGGUGAAUUGCAAGUUUCGAAUAACUAACGCAACUAGCGUGAUUCAAAUCCAGACAUACGGAGUGGUAAACACUCUUAACCAUCAGGCCAUCACAUGGGGUUCAUAUAUAGAACAUAUAUUAUCCUAUUAUCUUAAAACCAAAUAAUAUAGUUAUUAUUAAAUUUAAAAGAUAUGUUUUUAUCUGAAAAAAAUAUUAGCGGUAUGUCUGGCUCACUGGAACUAAAUAAAGUAGAAAUUGAAUAGCCUAUUCGGUGAGAAUAGAAGAAAGAAAUAAUAACAUUGCUAUGUUUAAUUGACUAAAUGAAGUAAAGCUGUAAUCUUAUUACAUUGUUUGGUUUGACUGAAUAAUGAUAGAAAAUUUACAAAGAAUAGAUCACAAAUGACAACUUUACCCUUAGUUCACAAUAUGAAAAUUUAAAUAAAUUGACUUUUUAAAAAUUUAAAUAAUUAUAAAGAUAAUUUAGCUAUAGAAUAUUUUAUUAAAAUUAAAAUUAAAAUUAAAAUUUAAAAAUUAUAUAAAUUAUUUAUUAGCUUUUAAUAUCAUUUAUUUUAAUAUUUUAUAAAUUAUAAUAAAUAUUAUAUUAAAAUAUAAUCACCAAAAUACAUAUAUUAAUCUAGAUAGAAUCUUACCAACAAAUGGUUGAGUGUAAUGGUAAGACACACUCAUUCUUAAGUGGAUGACCCAUGUGUGAAUCUUAGAGACGAUAUUGUUAGGAAAGAUAGCUAUGAACCCCAUGAACCGUGAAAUGGAUGCGAAGGAUAUAAAAAGAAAAUAUUUUUUCAAUUCUAAACCCCAUUCUUUAAAAGAAUUUGAGUCUAUUUGACGAAGAUGAUUCCAUGAAACGAAUAAUUCAAUGAACCAAACCAUUAAAUCAUUGUUCAUCAUCCAAUCAGCUCGAAAUAAUUUGACUAUUCAUGCCAACCAUAGUAAAUAAGAAACCACUCAAACAAAAAACAUUAAAUAAGAACUAAGUUGAUAGCUUAAUUUUGAAUUAAAAACACACAAAUUCAUAUUCGAUUCUUACCUGAAAAAGAAAAAAAUAUCAUGUUAAAUUAUACUAUUUUUAAAAUUUUAUAUGGCAAACAUAUAAUCCCAUGUUUAAUGCAUGUAAACUAGCACUAUUAUUUGAGUGAAGAUUAAAAUUUUUAAAUUUGAAAAAUAUAAAAAUUAAAAAAAUCAAAUUAAACAAAAGUGACUAAAUUAAUACUGGACUAAUAGUAGAAUUUGACCAAACAAAAUUACCUAAUACUUAGGCAUAAUUCAAAGAAUAACAACAAUACUUGAAAGAAAAAGAAAUAUGCUGUUAUGAAUCCAAAUCUUAGCUUAAAUGGUUUAAACAACUACCCUGAAAAGGGUGGCAUUCAUGGAGUUUAAAACUUAAAAGUUUCAAACAUCUACAACAUCUGCAACACCUUCUUUUAUCCCUAUGAAGAUAUGGGGAAGAUGAGUGUAGAAGCCCAAAUUUGCUGGGCCCAUUGUUCAAAUAAAAUAAAAUACAACAAACCUAAAAUUCAAUCCCAACUACCCAAACCUUAAGCCCAAAAUAAUCAGCCCACAAACUUAAAAUUUCAGCAGCAAACCCUAGCUGGCCGCCGCAUGCCUUACGUGGCCUCCUCAGCCUUGGCCACCACGCCCCACGCGUCUGACACUCCCACCUGCUCCACCGUGCCCACCACCUGCAACAAGAACAAACACAACAGCAAAGAAAGCAUGCGAAUGAUGGGGGAAGUAAUAAACAAAAGGAACAAAAAAAUAUAUUGGCUUUAAAAGCCGAAAUCUAUCAUUUGUAAUGGGGGGGAUUUUCUUUGAAAAAGAUAACAAAGAUUAGAAAUAAAAAAGAAAACAAAAGGUUACUGUUUUAUUCUUCUUUUUUUUCUUCGAUUCAUUCAUUUUAUUUUAUUUAUUACCAUUAUUUUUUUUAAAUAUGUUCUAAAAAACUUUUAAUAAAAGAAAUCAAAAGCAAAAUAAGGAGAAGAGAAAUUCACCGGAGUUGGCCGUGACCACGCCGCCGGUGGGGUUUCUCCUUCAUCGUCGACCACCAGUCUUUGUGGCUGUGGCGGUGGCGCUCCAAGUGCUAAGAAACCCAAGGGUUGGGUGCUUGAAAGAAAAGGGGAAAAGGUUUUUGAAACUAAGAAAGGGACAAAGGCUAGAAGGAAAAGUUUGCUCAAAUGCAUCAAGUGAAACGACGCCUGUUUGAUGGGGGAGAUCUGUGCAUGCUUUGCCCUAAUGGGUAAUUUAUGCAUUUAGUCCCUCCAUCUUGCGUUGAAGUGUAAUCCAACCUUUUAUUCCUUUUAGACUUGGGCUGCGAAUUUUGUUUCUGCUUCAAUCAGGUCCUUUGACCAUGUGUGCCCCUUUGCAUUGAAACGCUGCGCACAAGGGGCUUGGGAUAUUUCUUCCUUCGCUCCCUGAUAUUUUAGCACGUUGCAAAUCAGUCCCUCGUUCUAUCUUUUAAUUUUUUUAUAUCCCCUUUAUUUUAUUUCUGGUUUCAAUCAUGCCCAUUACCUUUUAACCCCAAUUUUUGUACAUUUUUAAACUGUUUCUUUUAUUAUUUAAGAUUUUCUUUUAUAUGUUAUUUUAUUUUAGACUGUUUUAGAUUAACUAAUAUUUAUCUCAAGCUUUUUAUAUGUUAUUUAUCUUAAAUACAUGUGUUUGCAUUAUCUAUUUUGAAUUUAUAUGUACUAUGUAGUUUAGAUUGUUUCCUAUACUAUUUAUUUUGAAAUUCUUUAUAUUAUUUAUAUCAAAACUGUUUAUUUUUGUUUAGAGUUUCUAUACAUUGAGUAUUUUAUACAUUGGAACGCAUUAUAUAUACUAAUUAUUUUAAAAUCAUUUGGUACUUUUUCAGCUAUGAUAUACGUCUUAUGUUUAUUUAUUAUCCAUUUUAAAAUUUUUCCUAUCUUACAUUUCUAUAUGUACAUACAUAUUACUUUUAAAAUUUUUAUACAUAGUAUUUUAAAAUCGUUUUGUAAAAACUUUUUUAUUUUUUAUUUUAUUUGUUCAAAAUUCAUUUAUUAUCUCUUCAAAAUUAUCCUACAUUUAUUUGUUCUAAUUUAUUUUAUACUACUCAUUUCGAAGUCAUUACGUAUGUUAUUUAAUUUAUUUGUCUUUGUUUAUUAAUACUAAUUUUUAAAUAAUGUAUGUCGAGUGGUUAUUUUCAUUGUGUGUACCAUAAUUAGUUUACUCGUACCUUCAUAUUAUUGUCAUAUAUUUGUAUAAUUCUAUCCAUGUAUCAUUAUUCCAUGCUUAUUAUUAUAUUGUUAUUUCAUGUCAUCAUUUUGUAAAUUAAACCCCAACAUAAUUGUCUAAUGUGGAUUGCUUUAUUUUAUUCUAAGUAAGAUAAAUGUUUACCUUCAAAUAAAUUACCCGCUAUUAUUCGAAAGGGAAUUUUUCUAAAUAAGGCAAUAUUUCGCGUUUGGAAAAUCGAGAAAACGUGCCCUAACGUGCUGGGUUUCGAUUUCUCGUUCGACUAAAUAGCCAAAUAUCCUCUUAAAGCUUCAAAGUAUGGUUUCAUUAAACUAUAAGGUGAUCUUGGUUUCGAUGGUUUAGAGUAUCGUGUCCUAACGUGCUGGAUGUGAUAUUCCUUUGGAACAAGAGAAUCUUAUAUUUCAAUUCACGUUAUCAGAGUUUCUUUUAAGGAUCGUAUUUUUAAAACUCUUCGAAGUUUUCAAUUUUCGACACUAAGACACUAAUUAAUCAACUAGGUACCAAUUUUGGGCGCAUCGAGGGUGCUAAUCCUUCCUCGUGCGUAACCGACUCCCGAACCCAUUUUUUUGAAUUUCGUAGACAAAAAUCGUUGUUUUAAUAAAAUCUAAAUCGUUUAUUAAAAACAACCGUUUUACGAGGUGACCCGAUCACACCUCAUCAAAAAAGAUUGGUGGCGACUCCUAUUUUUCGUUUUAUUUUCAAAAUCCAAGUCGACCCCGUUUCCAUCCAAAAAAUGGUGUCAACAAUGAGAUUGGAGACAAUUGAUGACUUUUGCUGGGUAAUGAAUCUAGGUUCUCCCAUACUCUCUUGAAGACAUAUUUUCACAAGGAAAAUAUGAAAAAAUGGAGCAAGAGAGAAACUAGAUUCAUUGCCCAGUAAAAGCCCAUAGAUCAGAGGUUGAGAAAAAAUAUAAAAGAAGGAAAAGGGAAACUAAUAGGCUAUUAUUUGGCAAUGCUCAUAUAUUUCUCUUCUAGGCUUUA
rnacentral:lncRNA from 1 species